GGUGGAUGCUGGGUAGGGCAGCUUGGGGUCAGUGGAGGACUUCAUCUUCUCUGGUCAGGCUUGACUUUACCUGAUGAGAAAGGGGAGGAGCUGGAAUAGGAGCCUGCCUGGCUGAGGGGGAAUUUGAGGAUUUGGGGGUAAGGAUCAGAGCAUAGCACUAAGGACAGGAAACCAGGCAUCCUUUAAGAGUUGUCCUCAUCUCCAGGGAGCAGGCGGUUCCUCUAGGAAGUGUCCAUGGCUAGUAAUUUUCAACUCAGAUUCUCCCUGAGGAUGGCAUGGUGAGGAAGUGCAU
rnacentral:lncRNA from 1 species